GAUGAACGCUGGCGGCGUGCCUAAUACAUGCAAGUCGAGCGAACAGACGAGGAGCUUGCUCCUCUGACGUUAGCGGCGGACGGGUGAGUAACACGUGGAUAACCUACCUAUAAGACUGGGAUAACUUCGGGAAACCGGAGCUAAUACCGGAUAAUAUAUUGAACCGCAUGGUUCAAUAGUGAAAGACGGUUUUGCUGUCACUUAUAGAUGGAUCCGCGCCGCAUUAGCUAGUUGGUAAGGUAACGGCUUACCAAGGCAACGAUGCGUAGCCGACCUGAGAGGGUGAUCGGCCACACUGGAACUGGGACACGGUCCAGACUCCUACGGGAGGCAGCAGUAGGGAAUCUUCCGCAAUGGGCGAAAGCUUGGCGGAGCAACGCCGCGUGAGUGAUGAAGGUCUUCGGAUCGUAAAACUCUGUUAUUAGGGAAGAACAAAUGUGUAAGUAACUAUGCACGUCUUGACGGUACCUAAUCAGAAAGCCACGGCUAACUACGUG
rnacentral:rRNA from 1 species